UACGAAGGGUGCAAGCGUUAGUCGGAAUUACUGGGCGUAAAGCGUGCGUAGGUGGUUUCUUAAGUCCGUUGUGAAAGCCCUGGGCUCAACCUGGGAAUUGCAUUGGAUACUGGCAGGCUAGAGUGCGGUAGAGGAUGGCGGAAUUCCCGGUGUAGCAGUGAAAUGCGUAGAGAUCGGGAGGAACAUCUGUGGCGAAGGCGGCCAUCUGGACCAGCACUGACACUGAGGCACGAAAGCGUGGGGAGCAGACAGG
rnacentral:rRNA from 1 species